rnacentral:rRNA from 1 species
AACGAACGCUGGCGGCAUGCCUAACACAUGCAAGUCGAACGAGACCUUCGGGUCUAGUGGCGCACGGGUGCGUAACGCGUGGGAACCUGCCCUUAGGUUCGGAAUAACUCCCCGAAAGGGGUGCUAAUACCGGAUAAUGUCUUCGGACCAAAGAUUUUUCGCCUUUGGAUGGGCCCGGGUUGGAUUAGCUGGUUGGUAGGGGAAAAGCCUGCCAAGGCGAGGAUCCAUAGCUGGUCGGAGAGGAUGAUCAGCCACACUGGGGCUGAGACACGGCCCAGACUCCUACGGGAGGGAGCAGUGGGGAAUAUUGGACAAUGGGCGAAAGCCUGAUCCAGCAGUGCCGGGUGAGUGAUGAAGGCCUUAGGGUUGUAAAGCUCUUUUACCCGGGAUGAUAAUGACAGUACCGGGAGAAUAAGCUCCGGCUAACUCCGUG